rnacentral:rRNA from 1 species
UGGCGACCGGCGGAAGGGUGCGUAACGCGUGAGCAACAUACCCUAUACAGGGGGAUAAGCCAGGGAAACUUGGUCUAAUAUCCCAUAGGAAAUAGAUAAGGCAUCUUGUUUAUUUUAAAGCUUCGGUGGUAUAGGAUUGGCUCGCGUGACAUUAGCUAGAUGGAGGGGUAACGGCCCACCAUGGCAAUGAUGUCUAGGGGUUCUGAGAGGAAGAUCCCCCACACUGGGACUGAGACACGGCCCAGACUCCUACGGGAGGCAGCAGUGAGGAAUAUUGGAACAAUGGAUGGAAAUCUGAUCCAGCCAUGCCGCGUGCAGGAAGGAACCGGUCCCUAUGGGUUAGUAAACUGUCUUUUAUACGGGAGCAAUAAGGUCUAUGCAUAGAUUGAUGAGAGUACCGUAUGAAUAAGCAUCGGCUAACUCCGUGCCAGCAGCCGC